rnacentral:tmRNA from 1 species
GGGACAGUAAGGAUUCGACGGAAAGACCUUUGAGAUAAGUGGCAAGCCGAGCGUGUAUCGCAAGCUCGUUAAUCCCCGAUACAAAAAAUCAAGUGCCAAAACACUUGCAGAAAAAGUAAAGACUGCUUUUGCAGGACUUGCUUUUUCACCCGCUGUUGCCUAAAUAGCGCGACAGCUGUCCUGACUAUUCUUAGACCUGGAGAAUUAUCAGGGCACAACCAAACAGGUCUACACUCCACAAGGUCACCCUAGUAGUGGAACGAAGCAAACGAGGGUAUUUCCUUAAGCUUGUUUAUCCACUUUCGAUUUGGCUUUUCGGACGGGGGUUCGAUUCCCCCCUGUUCCACCA